rnacentral:lncRNA from 1 species
UACUAUUGGCGAGUUUCUAUAAUUAUACAUGAACAGGAGCUAUUGACUUCAACCUGGACAUAUAGAAACAAUCUAUUGAAUUACAAAACUAAUUGAAUCAUGUCAAAAUUACUGAAGUACUAAUAAUCCAAACCAAAUUAUUGACUAUAAACUCACACAUUCACAAAUACUAGUGCUAUAAUCUAUGCAUCCAAACACUCCAAUCAAAUACAAGUAUUACAACCCUGGACAGUUUGUCAUAACAUGAUUUAAACAUUGAGUUUAUUCCAAAUAAAAUAUUAGACUAAUGAAUCAGUGAGCUUCGAAGAUGAUCAUGCAGCAAAUGUGUUUUCCAUUUCAUGAAGGAGUUUACAUUGAUUCCAAAUGUGUACCUCGAAGGGAUUUGACAGAGGAAGAGAUCAGUUACAGUAAACAGAUGAGCAGCAGCACAGUAGUACUUGAAAACCCAGAAAAUAGAAGGAAUAGCUCAGAAACAAAUUGAAUAUAGCAGGAUUAGCAACAGAUGAUUCCAGCAGUAGAGAAAAACCAAAUCAAACCCCAGUAUUGUUUCAAAUCCAAACAGGACCGCAAAAUAAACCCAAAAACAGUACCAGAAUGCUUAGCUAUUCGAUCCAAAUCUAAUCGACCAGCUACUAAAUACCUCCAGAUGCCCUUGUAAACCAAAGUCAAAGUAGAAGCAAAGAAAUUCAAAUAGGAGCUGAAAAUGAGUUAACUAGGCAAUGAAACAGUGAUAUAUUCUGGGUUUUUUUUAUUUUAAAUUUUUUUAAUUUUUGAAGGUUUGAAUCUAAAAAAUACAGAUCUGAAAAAUAAGGAAAAGAAGACUUCUGAGAGAUUUUUGAUUGCUGAAAAGUACUUGGAAUUUUCAGGGAGUCUAAAACUUGUUAGUGAAGGAAUUGAGGUUUCCUUUUAUAGGCAACAAAUAGGGUAGAAUGUUCUAGAUGACACUCACACAUUUUUUCUCUUUUUAUUUUAGAUUUCACCUAUUAGUCUGGGAAUUUGCAGGGAGUCUAAAACUUGUUAAUGAAGGAAUUGAGGUUGCCUUUUAUAGGCAACAAAUAGGGUAGAAUGUUUUAGAUGACACUCACACUUUUUUUCUCUUUUAGUUUCAGAUUUCACCUAUUAUUCCUUUAAUUUCUGACUUGUUUCUUAAGUUGUUGUCCUAAUCAUACUGAAUUAUACACUAAACUCCUAUUCUAGAAGGCCCUACGGUGUUCUUUUAGCUAUACAAUACCUAUACUACCCCUAUCUUGAUUAUAAAAUUACUAUUCCUCAUAAAACAACCCUUUUCUAUGUCUAAGCUACCCUUAUUUACCACCUGAAAUUGCUAAAUCCAGCUGACUACACCAAACCCCUUACCCUUGGCUAAAAUCUAACUAGUGUUAACUAAAAAGGAUAAUGUAUUCAGCUAUAUCCAAACAACCUAUUUUAAACACUACCCUAAUUAACACUAAUAUUGAAUUAACACUGAAUUAACAACUAACAUAAACUGAAUCAAAUAUGGGUCGAAUCCAGAAGGAUAAAACAAAACAAAAUCAAUAUGAACAAAUUAAAUAAGUUUACAUCUAUUCCAAAUGUGUACCUGGAAAUGGAUUUGACAGAGGAAAGAGAUCAGUUACAAUAAACAGAUGAGCAGCAGCACAAUAGUACUUGAAAACCCAGAAAAUAGAAGGAAUAGCCCGGAAACUAAUUGAAUACAGCAGGAUUAGCAACAAAUGAUUCUAGCAGUAGAGAAAAACCAAAUCAAACCCCAAUAUUAUGUCAAAACCAAAUAGGACAGCAUAAUAAACACAAAAACAGUACCAGAAUGCUUAGAUAUUCGACCCAAAUCUAAUCGACCAGCUACUAAAUACCUCCAGAUACCCUUGUAAAGUAGAAGCAAAGAAAUUCAAAUAGAAGCUGAAAAUGAGUUAACUAGGCAAUGAAACAAGGAUAUAUUCUGAUUUUCUUUUUUUGUCUUUUUUGUUUUUCUUUUUAAUGUUUUGGAUUUUUUGAAGGUUUGAAUCCAAAAAAUACAGAUCUGAAAUAUAAGGAAAAGAAGACUUCUGAGAGAUUUUUGAUGGCUAAACGGUACAUGGAAUUUUCAAGGAGUCUAAAACUUGUUAAUGAAGUCAUUGAGGUUACCUUUUAUAGGCAACAAAUAGGGUAGAAUGUUCUAGAUGACACUCACACAUUUUUUUCUUUUAAUUUCAGAUUUCACCUAUUAGUCCUUUAAUUUCUGACUUGUUUCUCAAGUUACUGUCCUGAUUUUACUGAAUUAUAUACUAAACUCCUAUUCUUGAUGGCCCUACGCUGUUCUUUUAGCUAUACAAUACCUAUACUACCCCUAUCUUGAUUUUAAAAUUACUAUUCCUCAUAAAACAACCCUUUCUAUGUCUAAGCUACCCUUAUUUACCACCUGAAAUUACUAACUCCAGCUGACUACACCAAACCCCUUACCCUUGGCUAAAAUCUAACUAGUGUUAUUUAAAAAGGAUAAUGUAUUCAGCUAUAUCAAAACAACCUAUUUUAAACACUACCCUAAUUAGCACUAAUAUUGAAUUAACACUGAAUUAACAAUUAACAACUAACAUAAAUUGAAACAAAUCUGGGUCGAACCCAGAAGGGAAAAACAAAUAAAAAUCAAUAUGAACAAAUUAACACCUUCUUUGAACAAAUUAAAAGUAAACUAAACUUUAUAGUACCAGACUUUAAACCUCUAACAACGUUUUGUGGCUAACUAUUGAACAAGGUCAAAACCCAAAUUAAUCUUCAAACGAACAGGACAGGGAGAAAUCUAUCUAAACUAAAUAUUAAUUAAACCGAUUAAGCUAUUAAAUGAAGUAACGAAAGAGGAAAGAACUUAGAAUCGACCUAAUUAUCGUACUACUAAUUAACAAUGAAACAUGGACUACACUAACGAUGGUCAAACCAAAGAAGACGAGCAAAAGAAACUGAUAAAAUAAUAAAAACUAGAAGAGAAGACUCACCCAGGUUUCCGCGUGGAUUACCUCAUCGAAAUUGAAAUCUGCUUAAUGUUAUUUGUCUAGUUAACCAAAAAUAACCAAGUAGCAUUAAUAGGGAACCAAUUCGACUAAACUCUAGUGAGCUUCGAAGAUGAUCAUGUAGAAAAUGUGUUUUUCAUUUCAUGAACAAGCUUACAUAGAUUCAAAAUGUGUACCUGGAAGGGGAUUUGAUAGAGGAAAGAGAUCAGUUACAGUAAACAGAUGAGCAGCAUCACAGUAGUACUUGAAAACCCAGAAACUAGAAGGAACAGCCCAUAAACAAAUUGAAUACUGCAGGAUUAGAAAGAGAUGAUUCCAGCAGUAGAGAAAAACCAAACCAAACCCCAGUAUUGUUUCAAAACUAAAUGGGACCUCAUAAUAAACCCAAAAACAGUACCAGAAUUCUUAGAUAUUCGACCCAAAUCUAAUCGACCAGCUACUAAAUGCCUCCAUAUACCUUUGUAAACCAAAAUCAAAGUAGAAGCAAAGAAAUUCAAAUAGGAGCUGAAAAUGAGUUAACUAGGCAAUGAAACAGUGAUAUAUUCUGGGUUUUUUUUAUUUUAAAUUUUUUUAAUUUUUGAAGGUUUGAAUCUAAAAAAUACAGAUCUGAAAAAUAAGGAAAAGAAGACUUCUGAGAGAUUUUUGAUUGCUGAAAAGUACUUGGAAUUUUCAGGGAGUCUAAAACUUGUUAGUGAAGGAAUUGAGGUUUCCUUUUAUAGGCAACAAAUAGGGUAGAAUGUUCUAGAUGACACUCACACAUUUUUUCUCUUUUUAUUUUAGAUUUCACCUAUUAGUCCUUUAAUUUCUGACUUGUUUCUCAAGUUGCUAUCAUAAUUUUACUGAAUUAUACACUAAACUCCUAUUCUAGAAGGCCCUACGCUGUUCUUUUAGCUAUACAAUACCUAUACUACCCCUAUCUUGAUUAUAAAAUUACUAUUUCUCAUAAAAUAACCCUUUUCUAUGUCUAAGCUAUCCUUAUUUACCACCUGAAAUUACUAACUCCAGCUGACUACACCAAACCCCUUACCGUUGGUUAAAAUCUAACUAGAGUUAACUAAAAAGGAUAAUGUAUUCAGCUAUAUCCAAAUAACCUAUUUUAAACACUACCCUAAAUAACAGUAAUAUUGAAGUAACACUGAAUUAACAAUUAACAACUAACAUAAACUGAAUCAAAUAUGGGUCGAAUCCAGAAGGAUAAAACAAAUCAAAAUCAAUAUGAACAAAUUAACACCUUCUUUGACCAAAUUAAAAGUAAACUAAUCUUUAUAGUACCAGACUUUAAACCUCUAACAACGUUUUAUGGCUAACUAUUGAACAAGGUCAAAACCCAAAUUAAUCUUCAAAUGAACAGGACAGGGAGAAAUCUAUCUAUACUAAAUAUUAAUUGCCGAUUAAGCUAUUAACCGAAGUAACAAAAGAGGAAAGAACUCAGAAUCGACUUAAUUAACGUACUACUAAUUAACAAAGAAACAUGGAUUACACUAACGAAGGUCAAACCAAAGAAGACGAGCAAAAGAAACUUAUAAAAUAGUAAAACUAGAAGAGAAGACUCACCCAGGUUUCCACAUAAUAUAUUAGACUAAUGAAUCAGUGAGCUUCGAAGAUGAUCAUGCAACAAAUGUGUUUUUCAUUUCAUGAAGAAGUUUACAUCGAUUCCAAAUGUGUACCUUUAAAGGGAUUUGAUAGAGGAAAGAGAUUGGCUACAAUAAACAGAUGAGCAGCAGCACAAUAGUACUUGAAAACCCAGAAAAUAGAAGGAAUAGCCCAGAAACUAAUUGAAUACUGCAGGAUUAACAACAGAUGAUUCCAGCAGUAGAGAAAAACCAAACCAAACCCCAAUAUUGUUUCAAAAUCAAAUGGGACCUCAUAAUUAACCCAAAAACAGUACCAGAAUGCUUAGAUAUUUGACCCAAAUCUAAUCGACCAGCUACUAAAUACCUUCAGAUACCCUUGUAAACCAAAAUCAAAGUAGAAGCAAAGAAAUUCAAAAAGAAGCUUAAAAUGAGUUAACUAGGCAAUGAAACAGUGAUUUAUUCUGAAUUGUUUUGAGUAUUUGUUUUUCUUUUUAAUGAUUUUUUGAAGGUUUGAAUCUAAAAAAUACAGAUCUGAAAAAUAAGGAAAAGAAGACUUCUGAGAGAUUUUUGAUGGCUGAAAGGUACAUGGAAUUUUCAGGGAGUCUAAAACUUGUUAAUGAAGGCAUUGAGGUUGCCUUUUAUAGGCAACAAAUAGGGUAGAAUGUUCUAGAUGACACUCACACAUUUUUUCUCUUUUAAUUUCAGAUUUCACCUAUUAGUCCUUUAAUUUCUGACCUGUUUCUCAAGUUGUUGUCCCAAUUUUACUGAAUUAUACACUAAACUCCUAUUCUUGAUGGCCCUACGCUGUUCUUUUAGCUAUACAAUACCUAUACUACCCCUAUAUUGAUUUUAAAAUUACUAUUCCUCAUAAAACAACCCUUUUCUAUGUCUAAGCAACCCUUAUUUACCACCUGAAAUUACUAACUCCAGCUGACUUCACCAAACCCCUUACCCUUGGCUAAAAUCUAACUAGAGUUAUUUAAAAAGGAUAAUGUAUUCAGCUAUAUCAAAACAAACUAUUUUAAACACUAAUCUAAUUAACACUAAUAUUGAAUUAACACUGAAUUAACAAUUAACAACUAACAAAAACUGAAACAAAUUUGGGUCGAACCCAGCAGGGCAAAACAAAUCAAAAUUAAUAUGAACAAAUUAACACCUUCUUUGAACAAAUUAAAAGUAAACUAAACUUUGGACUUUAAACCUCUAACAAUGUUUUAUGGCUAACUAUUGAACAAGGUCAAAACCCAAAUUAAUCUUCAAACGAACAAGACAGGGAGAAAUCUAUCUAAACUAAAUAUUAAUCUAACCGAUUAAGCUAUUAAAUGAAGUAACGAAAGAGGAAAGAACUUAGAAUCGACCUAAUUAACGUACUACUAAUUAACAAAGAAACAUGGACUACACUAACGAAGGUCAAACCAAAGAAGACGAGCAAAAGAAACUGAUAAAAUAAUAAAAACUAGAAGAGAAGACUCACCUAGAUUUCCGAAUAAAAUAUUAGACUAAUGAAUCAGUGAGCUUCGAAGAUGAUCUGGUAGCAAAUGUAUUUUUCAUUUCAUGAACGAGUUUACAUAGAUUCCGUUUCCAAAUAAAAUAUUAGACUAAUGAAUCAGUGAGCUUCGAAGAUGAUCAUGUAGAAAAUGUGUUUUUCAUUUCAUAAACGAGUUUACAACGAUUCCAAAUGUGUACCUGGAAGGGGAUUUGAUAGAGGAAAGACAUCAGUUACAGUAAACAGAUUAGCAGCAGCACGGUAGUACUUGAAAACCCAGAAACUAGAAGGAAUAGCCCAUAAAAAAAUUGAAUGCUGCAGGAUUAGCAACAGAUGAUUCCAGCAGUAGAGAAAAACCAAACCAAACCCCGGUAUUGUUUCAAAACCAAAUGGGACCUCAUAAUAAACCCAAAAACAGUACCAGAAUGCUUAGAUAUUCGACCCAAAUCUAAUAGACCAGCUACUAAAUGCCUCCAGAUACCCUCGUAUACCAAAAUCAAAGUAGAAGCAAAGAAAUUCAAAUAGGAGCUGAAAAUGAGUUAACUAGGCAAUGAAACAGUGAUAUAUUCUGGGUUUUUUUUAUUUUAAAUUUUUUUAAUUUUUGAAGGUUUGAAUCUAAAAAAUACAGAUCUGAAAAAUAAGGAAAAGAAGACUUCUUUCUUUUUUUUGUGUUUUUUGUUUUUAUUUUUAAUGUUUUGGAUUUUUUGAAGGUUUGAAUCUAAAAUAUACAAAUCUGGAAAAUAAGGAAAAGAAGACUUCUGAGAGAUUUUUGAUGGCUGAAAGGUACAUGGAAUUUUCAGGGAGUCUAAAACUUGUUAAUGAAGGCAUUGAGGUUGCCUUUUAUAGGCAACAAAUAGGGUAGAAUGUUCUAGAUGACACUCACACAUUUUUUCUCUUUUAAUUUCAGAUUUCACCUAUUAGUCCUUUAAUUUCUGACUUGUUUCUCAAGUUGCUGUCCUAAUUUUACUAAAUUAACACUAAACUCCUAUUCUAGAAGGCCCUACGGUGUUCUUUUAGCUAUACAAUACUUAUGCUACACCUAUCUUGAUUAUAAAAUUACUAUUCCUCAUAAAAUAACCCUUUUCUAUGUCUAAGCUAGCCUUAUUUACCACCUGAAACUACUAACUCCAGCUGACUACACCAAACCCCUUACCCUUGGCUAAAAUCUAACCAGAGUUAUUUAAAAAGGAUAAUAUAUUCAGCUAUAUCCAAACAACCUAUUUUAAACACUACCCUAAUUAACGCUAAUAUUGGAUUAACACUGAAUUAACAAUUAACAACUAACAUAAACUUAAUCAAAUCUGGGUCGAACCCAGAAGGACAAAACAAAUCAAAAUCAAACACUAAUAUUGGAUUAACACUGAAUUAACAAUUAACAACUAACAUAAACUAAAAAAAAUCUGGGUCGAACCGAGAGGACAACAAAUCAAAAUCAAUAUGAAAAAAUUAACACCUACUUUGAACAAAUUAAAAGUAAACUAAACUUUAUAGUACCGGACUUUAAACCUCUAACAAUGUUUUAUGGCUAACUAUUGAACAAGGUCAAAACCCAAAUUAAUCUUCAAACGAACAAGACAGGGAGAAAUCUAUCUAAACUAAAUAUUAAUCUAACCGAUUAAGCUAUUAAAUGAAGUAACGAAAGAGGAAAGAACUUAGAAUCGACCUAAUUAACGUACUAUAAAUGAACAGGACAGGGAGAAAUCUAUCUAAACUAAAGAUUAAUUGAACCGAUUAAGCUAUUAACAGAAGUAACGAAAGAGGAAAGAACUCCGAAUCGACCUAAUUAGCGUACUACUAAUAAACAAAGAAACUUGGACUACACUAACGAAGGUCAAACCAAAGAAGACGAGCAAAAGAAACCGAUAAAAUAAUAAAAACUAGAAGAGAAGACUCACCCAGGUUUCCAAAUAAAAUAUUAGACUAAUGAAUUAGUGAGCUUCGAAGAUGAUCAUGUAGAAAAUGUGUUUUUCAUUUCAUGAACAAGCUUACAUAGAUUCAAAAUGUGUACCUGGAAGGGGAUUUGAUAGAGGAAAGAGAUCAGAGCUUCGAAGAUGAUCAUGCAGCAAAUAUGUUUUUCUUUUCAUGAAGAAGUUUACAUCGAUUCCAAAUGUGUACCUGGAAAUGGAUUUGACAGAGGAAAGAGAUCAGUUACAAUAAACGGAUGAGCAGCAACACAAUAGUACUUGAAAACCCAGAAAAUAGAAGGAAUAGCCCGGAAACUAAUUGAAUACAGCAGGAUUAUAGAUGAUUCCAGUAGUAGAGAAAAACCAAAUCAAACCCCAAUAUUAUUUCAAAACCAAAUAGGACCGCAUAAUAAACACAAAAACAGUACCAGAAUGCUUAGAUAUUCAACACAAAUCUAAUCGACCAGCUACUAAAUACCUCCAGAUACCCUUGUAAUCCAAAAUCAAAGUAGAAGCAAAGAAAUUCAAAUAGAAGUUGAAAAUGAGUUAACUAGGCAAUGAAACAGUGAUAUAUUCUGAUUUUUUUUUGUGUUUUUUGUUUUUCUUUUUAAUGUUUUGGAUUUUUUGAAGGCUUGAAUCUAAUAAAUACAGAUCUGAAAAAUAAGGAAAAGAAGACUUCUGAGAGAUUUUUCAUGGCUGAAAGGUACAUGGAAUUUUCAGGGAGUCUAAAAUUGUUAAUGAAGGCAUUGAGGUUGCCUUUUAUAGGCAACAAAUAGGGUAGAAUGUUCUAGAUGACACUCACACAUUUUUUCUCUUUUAAUUUCAGAUUUCACGUAUUAGUCCUUAAAUUUCUGACUUGUUUCUCAAGUUACUGUCCUAAUUUUACUGAAUUAUACACUAAGCUCAUAUUCUUGAUGGCCCUACGCUGUUCUUUUAGCUAUACAAUACCUAUACUACCCCUAUCUUGAUUUUAAAAUUACUAUUCCUCAUAAAACAACCCUUUCUAUGUCUAAGCUACCCUUAUUUACCACCUGAAAUUACUAACUCCAGCUGACUACACCAAACCCCUUACCCUUGGCUAAAAUCUAACUAGUGUUAUUUAAAAAGGAUAAUGUAUUCAGCUAUAUCAAAACAACCUAUUUUCCUAAGCUACCCUUAUUUACCACCUGAAAUGACUAACUCCACCUUACUACACCAAACCCCUUACCCUUGGCUAAAAUCUAACUAGUGUUAUUUAAAAAGGAUAAUGUAUUCAGCUAUAUCAAAACAACAUAUUUUAAGCACUGCCCUAAUUCACACAAAUAUUGAAUUAACACUGAAUUAAUAAUUAACAACUAACAUAAACUGAAACAAAUCUGUGUCGAACCCAGAAGGGAAAAACAAAUAAAAAUCAAUAUGAACAAAUUAACACCUUCUUUGAACAAAUUAAAAGUAAACUAAUCUUUAUAGUACCGGACUUUAAACCUCUAACAACGUUAAAUGGCUAACUAUUGAACUAGGUCAAAACCCAAAUUAAUCUUCAAACGAACAGGACAGGGAGAAAUCUAUCUAAACUAAAUAUUAAUCAAACCGAUUAAGAUAUUAAAUAAAGUAACGAAAGAGGAAAGAACUUAUAAUCGACCUAAUUAACGUACUACUAAUUAACAAAGAAACAUGGACGACACUAACGAAGGUCAAACCAAAGAAGACGAGCAAAAGAAACUGAUAAAAUAAUAAAAACUAGAAGAGAAGACUCACCUAGAUUUCCGAAUAAAAUAUUAGACUAAUGAAUCAGUGAGCUUCGAAGAUGAUCUGGUAGCAAAUGUAUUUUUCAUUUCAUGAACGAGUUUACAUAGAUUCCAAAUAUGUACCUGGAAGGGGAUUUGAUAGAGGAAAGAAAUCGGUCAUAGUAAACAGAUGAGCAGCAGCACUGUAGUACUUAAAAACCCAGAAACUAGAGGGAAUAGCCCAUAAACAAAUUGAAUACUGCAGGAUUAGCAAUAGAUGAUUCCAGUAGUAGAGAAAAACCAAACCAAACCCCAGUAUUGUUUCAAAACCAAUUGGGACCUCAUAAUAAACCCAAAAACAGUACCAGAAUGCUUAGAUAUUCGACCCAAAUCUAAUCGACCAGCUACUAAAUGCCUCCAGAUGCCCUUGUAAACCAAAAUCAAUGUAGAAGCAAAGCAAUUCAAAUAGGAGCUGAAAAUGAGUUAACUAGGCAAUGACUGAUUUUUUUUGUGUUUUUUGUUUUUCUUUUUAAUGUUUUGGAUUUUUUGAAGGUUUGAAUCUAAAAACACAAAUCUGAAAAAUAAGGAAAAGAAGAAUUCUGAGAGAUUUUUGAUGGCUGAAAGGUACUGGGAAUUUUCAGGGAGUCUAAAACUCGUUUAUGAAGGCAUUGGGGUUUCCUUUUUUAGGCAACAAAUAGGGUAUAAUGUUCUAGAUGACACUCACACAUUUUUUCUCUUUUAAUUUCAGAUUUCACCUAUUAGUCCUUAAAUUUCUGACUUGUUUCUCAAGUUACUGUCCUAAUUUUACUGAAUUAUACACUAAGCUCAUAUUCUUGAUGGCCCUACGCUGUUCUUUUAGCUAUACAAUACCUAUACUACCCCUAUCUUUACUGAAUUGUACACUAAACUCCUAUUCUAGAAGGCCCUACAGUGUUCUUUUAGCUAUACAAUACCUAUACUACCCCUAUCUUGAUUUUAAAAUUACUAUUCCUCAUAAAACAACCCUUUUCUAUGUCUAAGCUACCCUUAUUUACCACCUGAAAUGACUAACUCCACCUUACUACACCAAACCCCUUACCCUUGGCUAAAAUCUAACUAGUGUUAUUUAAAAAGGAUAAUGUAUUCAGCUAUAUCAAAACAACAUAUUUUAAGCACUGCCCUAAUUCACACAAAUAUUGAAUUAACACUGAAUUAAUAAUUAACAACUAACAUAAACUGAAACAAAUCUGUGUCGAACCCAGUAACGCUAAUAUUGGAUUAACACUGAAUUAACAAUUAACAACUAACAUAAACUUAAUCAAAUCUGGGUCGAACCCAGAAGGACAAAACAAAUCAAAAUCAAUAUGAACAAAUUAACACCUUCUUUGAACAAAUUAAAAGUAAACUAAACUUUAUAGUACCGGACUUUAAACCUUUAACAAUGUUUUAUGGCUAACUAUUGAACAAGCUCAAAACCCAAAUUAAUCUUCAAAUGAUUAGGACAGGGAGAAAUCUAUCUAAACUAAAGUUAAUUAAGCUGACUAAACUAUUAACAGAAGUAACGAAAGAGGAAAGAACAUAGAAUCGACCUAAUGAACGUACUACUAAUUAACAAAGAAACAUGGACUACACUAACGAAGGUCAAACUAAAGAAGACGAGUAAAAGAAACUGAUAAAAUAAUAAAAACUAGAAGAGAAGACUCACCCAGGUUUCCAAAUAAAAUAUUAGACUAAUGAAUUAGUGAGCUUCGAAGAUGAUCAUGUAGAAAAUGUGUUUUUCAUUUCAUGAACAAGCUUACAUAGAUUCAAAAUGUGUACCUGGAAGGGGAUUUGAUUAGCUUCGAAGAUGAUCAUGCAGCAAAUGUGUUUUUCAUUUCAUGAAGGAGUUUACAUCGAUUCCAAAUGUGUACCUCGAAGGGGAUUUGACAGAGGAAAGAGAUCAGUUAUAGUAAACAGAUGAGCAGCAGCACAGUAGUACUUGAAAACCCAGAAAAAUAGAAGGAAUAGCCUAUAAACAAAUUGAAUACUGCAUGAUUAGCAACAGAUGAUUCCAGCAGUAGAGAAAAAGCAUACCAAACCCCAGUAGUACUUCAAAACCAAAUAGGACCGGAUAAUAAACCCAAAAUCAAUACCAGAAUGCUUAGAUAUUCGACCCAAAUCUAAUCGACCAGCUACUAAAUACCUCCGGAUACCCUUGUAAACCAAAAUCAAAGUAGAAGCAAAGUAAUUCAAAUAGGAGUUGAAAAUGAGUUAACUAGGCAAUGAAACAGUGAUAUAUUCUUUUUUUUUUUGUGUUUUUUGUUUUUCUUUUUAAUGUUUUGGAUUUUUUGAAGGUUUGAAUCUAAAAAAUACAGAUCUCAAAAUAAGGAAAAGAAGACUUCUAAGAGAUUUUUUAUGGCUGUAAGGUAAUGGGAAUUUUCAGGGAGUCUAAAACUUGUUAAUGAAGGAAUUGAGGUUGCCUUUUAUAGGCAACAAAUAUGUUAGAAUGUUCUAGAUGACACACACAUUUUUUCUCUUUUAAUUUCAGAUUUCACCUAUUAGUCCUUUAAUUUCUGACUUGUUUCUCAAGUUACU